rnacentral:rRNA from 1 species
GCCUAAUACAUGCAAGUCGAACGAAUCUCUUUUAGAGAUGAGUGGCGAACGGGUGAGUAAUACAUAGGUAACCUGCCCCUGUGCGGGGGAUAACAGGAGGAAACUCCUGCUAAUACCGCAUAGCCAUGAGCACCGCAUGGAGCUCAUGCCAAAUAUCCUUUAUGGGAUAGCGCAGGGAUGGACCUAUGGCGCAUUAGCUGGUUGGCGGGGCAACGGCCCACCAAGGCAACGAUGCGUAGCCGGCCUGAGAGGGCGGACGGCCACAUUGGGACUGAGACACGGCCCAGACUCCUACGGGAGGCAGCAGUAGGGAAUUUUCGGCAAUGGGGGAAACCCUGACCGAGCAACGCCGCGUGAGCGAAGAAGGCCUUCGGGUCGUAAAGCUCUGUUGUAAAGGAAGAACGGCGCAUACAGGAAAUGGUAUGCGAGUGACGGUACUUUACCAGAAAGCCACGGCUAACUACGUGCCAGCAGCCGCGGUAAUACGUAGGUGGCGAGCGUUAUCCGGAAUCAUUGGGCGUAAAGAGGGAGCAGGCGGCCGCAAGGGUCUGUGGUGAAAGACCGAAGCUAAACUUCGGUAAGCCAUGGAAACCGGGCGGCUAGAGUGCGGAAGAGGAUCGUGGAAUUCCAUGUGUAGCGGUGAAAUGCGUAGAUAUAUGGAGGAACACCAGUGGCGAAGGCGACGGUCUGGGCCGCAACUGACGCUCAUUCCCGAAAGCGUGGGGAGCAAAUAGGAUUAGAUACCCUAGUAGUCCACGCCGUAAACGAUGGUCACUAAGUGUCGGGGGUCAAACCCCGGUGCUGCAGUCAACGCAAUAAGUGACCCGCCUGAGUAGUACGUUCGCAAGAAUGAAACUCAAAGGAAUUGACGG